rnacentral:rRNA from 1 species
UACGUAGGAAGCGAGCGUUAUCCGGAAUUACUGGGCGUAAAGCGCGCGUAGGUGGUUUUUCAAGUCGAAUGUGAAAUUUCCCGGCUUAACCGGGAAGGGUCAUUCGAAACUGGAAGACUAGAGAGCGGCAGGGGGAAGCGGAAUUCCCGGUGUAGUAGUGAAAUGCGUAGAUAUCGGGAGGAACACCAGUGGCGAAGGCGGCUUCCUGGGCUGUUUCUGACACUGAGGCGCGAAAGUGUGGGUAG